AGAAAGUGGGGGAUCUUCGGACCUCACGCUAUCAGAUGAGCCUAGGUCGGAUUAGCUAGUUGGUGGGGUAAAGGCUUACCAAGGCGACGAUCCGUAACUGGUCUGAGAGGAUGAUCAGUCACACUGGAACUGAGACACGGUCCAGACUCCUACGGGAGGCAGCAGUGGGGAAUAUUGGACAAUGGGCGAAAGCCUGAUCCAGCCAUGCCGCGUGUGUGAAGAAGGUCUUCGGAUUGUAAAGCACUUUAAGUUGGGAGGAAGGGCAGUAAGUUAAUACCUUGCUGUUUUGACGUUACCAACAGAAUAAGCACCGGCUAACUUCGUGCCAGCAGCCGCGGUAAUACGAAGGGUGCAAGCGUUAAUCGGAAUUACUGGGCGUAAAGCGCGCGUAGGUGGUUCAGCAAGUUGGAUGUGAAAUCCCCGGGCUCAACCUGGGAACUGCAUCCAAAACUACUGAGCUAGAGUACGGUAGAGGGUGGUGGAAUUUCCUGUGUAGCGGUGAAAUGCGUAGAUAUAGGAAGGAACACCAGUGGCGAAGGCGACCACCUGGACUGAUACUGACACUGA
rnacentral:rRNA from 1 species